UACAGAGGGGGCAAGCGUUGUUCGGAAUUACUGGGCGUAAAGGGCGCGUAGGCGGCCUGAUAAGUAGGGGGUGAAAUCCUGCGGCUUAACCGCAGGGCUGCCUUCUAAACUGUCAGGCUCGAGCACAGUAGAGGCAGGUGGAAUUCCCGGUGUAGCGGUGGAAUGCGCAGAUAUCAGGAGGAACACCAAUUGCGAAGGCAGCUCGCUGGAACGUAACUGACGCUGAGACGCGAAAGCGUGGGGAGCAAACAGG
rnacentral:rRNA from 1 species